rnacentral:rRNA from 1 species
AGGACGAACGCUGGCGGUGUGCCUCAUACAUGCAAGUCGAACGAGAAGUUACCUUCGGGUAAUGGAAAGUGGCGGACGGGUGAGUACAACAUAGGAAAUCUGCCCUAAAGCGGGGGGACAACAGAGGGAAACUCCUGCUAAUACCCCAUAUGAGCUUAGUUGAAAUACUAAUCUUGAAAGAUUUAUCACUUUAGGAUGAGCCUGUGCCUGAUUAGCUGGUUGGUGGUGUAAUGGACUACCAAGGCGACGAUCAGUAGCUGGUUUGAGAGGAUGAUCAGCCACAAUGGGACUGAGACACGGCCCAUACUCCUACGGGAGGCAGCAGUAGGGAAUUUUGCGCAAUGGGGGAAACCCUGAACCGCAGCAACACCGCGUGAAUGUUAAGCCCUUCGGGGUGUAAAGUUCUGUCAAUAGGGAAGAAUAAAUGACUGUACCUAUAAAGGAAGCACCGGCUAACUCCGUGCCAGCCGCUGC